rnacentral:lncRNA from 1 species
AUUAAUGCUGCCCAGGGAAAACCGAGACACUGGAUUGCUGUGCAUUCUGGUAUUAGUUUAAUCUGGAUCCUUUUAUAAAAAUGAUUUCACUGUGAUUUCAAGCCUUUGGAAUCACUGAAACAAGAAUAGCUUCUAUAAUAUGGAUGUGGCAAUAACAUUUCCCAUUUGAACUUGUGACAAAGCCCCUCUGCCUGCCUCUCUCUCUCUCUCUCUUUCUCCCCCGCUUCUACCCACCCCGCCGGCCCCAUCACACACACACACACACACACGUAUCAUGAAAUUAACACUAGACAGGAGCAAAAAAGAUCAUCUCUGACCACUCUGAUGAUCUGGAUUCUAAAUAAGGCAGAUUUAUGGUCAAUUAUUUUAAAUCUGUAUUUGGACCUCUGGAUUCAAAUGGGUAGAUUCAUCAGCUGUUGGGAUUCAGCACAGG